UGCUUCUUCGGUAUCUCGUCUAGACUGUUUACUGUGUGACAUUCAACGGGAGGAGCGUGGGGAAAUCCAUGGAGGAAACUCUGAUGCAGCAACGCCGCGGAGGAUGACGCAUUUCGGUGUGUAAACUCCUUUUAUAGGGGAAGAUAAUGACGGUACCCUAUGAAUAAGCACCGGCUAACUCCGUGCCAGCAGCCGCGGUAAUACGGAAGGGUGCAAGCGUUACUCGGAAUCACUGGGCGUAAAGGAUGCGUAGGCUGGAAAUCAAGUCGAAAGUGAAAUCCAACGGCUCAACCGUUGAACUGCUUUCGAAACUGGUUACCUAGAAUAUGGGAGAGGUAGAUGGAAUUAGUGGUGUAGGGGUAAAAUCCGUAGAUAUCACUAGGAAUACCGAUUGCGAAGGGCGAUCUACUGGAACAUUAUUGACGCUGAGGCAUGAAAGCGUGGGGAGCAAACAGGAUUAGAUACCCUGGUAGUCCACGCCCUAUAACGAUGCACACUAGUUGUUGCGAUGCUAGUCAUUGCAGUAAUGCACUUUAACAGCAUUAAGUGUGCCGCCUCGGGGAGUACGGUCGCCAGAUUAAAACUCAAAGGAAUAGACGGGGACCCGGCACCAAGCGGUGGAGCAUGUUGGUUUUAAUUCGAAGAAUACACGAAGAACCUUACCCUGGGCUUGAUAUCCUAAGAAUCCUGUAGAGAUACGGGAGUGCUAGUUUACUAGAACUUAGAGACAGGUGCUGCACGGCUGUCGUCAGCUCGUGUCGUGAGAUGUUGGGUUAAGUCCCGCAACGAGCGCAACCCUCGUGAUUAGUUGCUAACAGUUCGGCUGAGCACUCUAAUCAGACUGCCUUCGUAAGGAGGAGGAAGGUGAGGACGACGUCAAGUCAUCAUGGCCCUUAUGCCCAGGGCUACACACGUGCUACAAUGGCUAGGACAAAGAGACGCGAUACUGCGAAGUGGAGCAAAUCUUAAAACCUAGUCUCAGUUCGGAUUGGAGUCUGCAACUCGACUCCAUGAAGCUGGAAUCGCUAGUAAUCGUAGAUCAGAUAUGCUACGGUGAAACGUUCCCGGGCC
rnacentral:rRNA from 1 species